AUCUUGCACUCCCUGCAGAGAGCAAACAAACAAGUAAACAAACAAAAUGGCGGCCACUGACACAACAGAGUUCUCCCAUCUCAUGGUUAUUAGGAUGUUCUUGAACUUUGUCUUAAGCAAUUGUGCAAAAAUAGGAGUGCAACUUUAAUUUUUCCAUUAAUGAAAAGACCACAUAAUAUUCUUGAGGUACUUUUAAUGAGGGUUCAUGAAAAUUGAUACUUGAAGUGCCUCAAAUGUGUGUGCGUUUUCUUUAGUUAGACCAACUGGGCUGACUGGGGAGCAGGUGGGGGGGCACCACAAGCAACCGCCAAAAGACUGACCAUUGAGGCGAAAAUCACACAAGCGAAGCCACUUAUUCAAUUUUUGGGAUUUAGUAUCCCCCUUCCAUCCUUGCAUGCAUCUGCAUCCCACUAUCUUUCCCUCUAGUUUUACUCCCCCCUCACCCACCCUCUCUUCUUGUGUCCAACACCCCCUCAUCCUACCAUGCCCCCUCGCCCAGUUCAUUGUACCAAAGGAGAUUUUCUCCAUUGAGGCCCAGUCUCUUAGGUAACCCCAGCGCUGCAUGAAAUGAGGAGAGGAAGAGAGAGAGAGAGAGAGUGUGAGAGAGGGCGGGGAAAUUGAGUGAGAGAGAGAGGGCGAAGGAAAUGUAAAGGCGGAGGGAGGGCCGGACAGAAAGGGUUGAAGAAGGAGAGGGAGAAGGACGCAGGAUCAGAGGAGGCUGAGGCAGAGAGAGUGAAAGAUGGAGAAGUAGGACAAGUGCGGUCAGACGUCGACAACGAUGCAGCUAAAACUCGACCCAGAACUGAGGGAGGAAGAAUGAGAGGCGAGGAUGUCUGUCGCACAUGCUGACCUGAGGCAAGCCGCAGGUCAAACGCCAUCAUGAAACUGAGCUUCAGCAAAUGGAGGAAGUGAUAUUUGGAUUGAAUCGCACCAUUCCCUCUCUGAGGUUAGUGAAUUGAAGCUGAAUUGACUUCAGAGCCUGAAAUCGCCAGAAAGCAAACCAGGCUAUCCGCCUGACCAUCCAAGUGUGUGUGAGUGUGUGAGCAUACCGAUGACCAAGAGAAGGAUGGAGGUCCGGAGCUGAUUGUCCAAACGCAAUUCUUGCGUCUGCCUUUGUGAAACCAGGAGUUGUGGAUGGACAUCACGCCCCUGACCUCUGAAAAUCAGCGAGGGACAAACCACAACGGACAGGAUAAAACUCAGUGGCUUUGUGGGUGUAUGAGCGAGAGACACUGAAAGACAAACAGGGAGAGAGAGGGGGAGAUAUUCAAUAAGGGAGAGUGUGUGUUUAUGUAAAUGUAAGCCUGUAGGAGCCUCUUUUGACAUUUUUGGAGGUCAGCUCAACUUUUUUCCAAACAAACCCAGAAUAGUUUCAAGUUGGGCCUAUAAAAGCUUUAUGUUCAAAGCUUUUACUUGUAACAGAACAAGAUGUAAAAUGAACAGUAAUUUCUGCUCUUCAGGUCAACUCAGGUGUGUAGUGAAAAGCUUAGGAUUUUCUUCUUUUUACAGGCCAGUCAUGGUUUGCAAGACAGGUGAAUAAUUAAUAUCAUAAUUUUUUUGAAAAGUAGUGGCACCAAACAGAGACAGCAGGUUGACAGCAGCCAAAUGGGAAGUGAAGAGGAAGCCAAUUAAUUUAUUUGGCAAUUCAUACAACACAAAUUGGUCUAUGUCGAAAUCUGAAACAGAACCCUACACAUACUUCAUGGCAAAUCAAACAUUUGAUAUUGUAAAAAUAUUGCAACCUUUCUUUUUGUUAACUUUCAGGAAGAAUAAAGAACAAAUAACCCAAAUGCCAAUGCCAAUUUAUUUUUUUUACUUUGUUGUAUAUUUCUCUUGCUCAGGUGCAAAGCCUAAUGCUCAUAUAGGCCUGGCUGUGCAGAUCAGGGGUGUCACAUUUUGGAAAGGGGGUUAGAGUCUGUCCGUGGAGCAGAAAGGGCUGAAUAGCUCUCACCAUGUUAAGUACAGUUGAAUGUGUCCGGUUCACUCUUCAGCACCAGCGUCUAGAGAGGGUCUUGCUAAAUUUGCAGUGGAAGGGGUGAGAGUGACAGAAAAGGAGAGUGAAUGAGUAGAAUGAGUACAGGGAGGUGUGUGUGUGUGUGUGUGUGUGUGUGUGUGUGUGUGUGUGUGUGUGUGUGUGUGUGUGUGUGUGUGUGUGUGUGUGUGUGUGUGUGUGUGUGUGUGUACUUACUCUCUCUGUGUUUGCCCCUGUGAAUUUGCCCCUGUGUGUUUUUUCCUGUGUUUGACAAAGUUCAGGGGGCCAGACUUUGAGAAAGAAAAGGGAAAAUGAGAGAAUGUAAAGGAUUUGAAUGAGGUGGUGAGAGAGGGAGUGAGAGGACGGAGAGGAGAACAAGAGGACAUUUUUGGAGGGAAAAGAAGACCAGGCACCUUGAAAUUUGUGUGGCGAAAUAGUCCGCUGCUUCACAGCACGAGUGGCGUAAAUUGGUGAUAUUUAUAGAUUGAAGCUGCAGGAAGCGACAACUCAGUCUGGGAAAUACGUAUAGAGAAAAAAGAGAGAGAGAGCAGGAGAGGGAAGGUGGGAGGGAGAUCAAGAGCGAGGCUGCAUUAAUAUGCUAAUGGCCUGAGUGAAUGCACAACAGGCCCACUGACCAGGCUAAUCACUGGUGGACACACACUGAGGCUAAUCCCUCACGCAGCACUCGCACACAUGCAGUCACACAUACAGUGCAGGUUAAAAUAUUUGGACAGUGACAUAUUUUGCGUGGCUUUGACUCUGUAUUCCAGGACAUUGGAUUUGAAAUUAAAAUAUGAUGUUUAAUGGCUGACUUUUAAGGUUUAGUUUGCAGGUAUUUAUGUCCUUAUUGGAUGAUUGGUGUAAGAAUAGUAUCUCUUUUUAUAUAUAGACUCUGAAUUUUAUGACAAUGCAGCAGGAUAAUGAUCCCAAACAAUCAAAGAAAAUAAUUCAAAAAUGUGUAGUUUGAUAUGGAUGCUAAAUACAUCAUGAUUUAUUUCAAAUCCAGUGUGCAGGAAUAAAGAGCCCAAUAAUUAAAAAAUGUGUCACAGUCUAAUACUGAGACAAUGAGGGAGAAGACAAAAAAGGAUUAAAUGAAAUCCUCAACCAUUUCAUUCACCCUAAUGCAUGAUUUCAGUGUCUCCCAACUGUUGUUUUAUGUGUCUCUUAUACUUAUCAUAAGUUAUGUAAUGUGUUUGUGUUUAAGUCUAUAUUUUUUUCUCUAUUAUAUUUUAAGUUUACUUAUCUAUCCAUCUAUAUAUAUUUCUAACACAUUUCUUCUGUUUAUAUACUUUUUUUGUAUUUAUUUUAUGUCCCAUGCCAAUAAAGCCCCUUUGACUUGUAAACAUUAUUAGUGUUGUCAUAUUGUAGGUAAAAAAUUAUGCAGAAUGCAAAUGAUAUCAAUAAACUUUCAAAACCA